ensembl:misc_RNA Metazoa_SRP Metazoan signal recognition particle RNA
GCCAGGUGUGGUGGCUUACGCCUGUAAUCCCAGCACUUUGGGAGGCUGAGGCAGGUGGAUCACUUGAGGCCAGGAGUUCAAGACCAGCCUGGCCAACAUGGUGAAACCCUGUCUCUA